rnacentral:rRNA from 1 species
GAUGAACGCUGGCGGCGUGCCUAAUACAUGCAAGUCGAGCGAAGCGGGGACGGGUGCGUAACACGUGUAUAACCUCCUAUACGACUGGGAUAACUUCGGGAAACCGUAGCUAAACCGGAUACUUUUCAAUGGACCCGCGCUGCAUUCGCUAGUUGGUAAGGUACCGGCUGACAAAAGCAACGAUGCAUAGCCGACCUCAGAGUGUGAUCGGCCAUACCGGAACUGAGACUCGGGCCAUACUCCUACGGGAGGCAGCAGUAGGGAUUCUUCCGCAAUGGGCUAAAGCCUGACGGGGCAACGCCGCGUGAGUGAUGAAGGUCUUCGGGGCGUAAACCUCUGUUAUUAUGGUAGCGGUACCUAAUGAGAGAGCCACGGCUAACUACGGGCCAGCAGGCGCGGGAAUUC